rnacentral:lncRNA from 1 species
CUCCAAAGCAGACCCUGCCCACCAUCUGGCCCUGGCAUAGUGACUGAAGAGGAGACGGAAGACACAGGUGCACGUCGUGGUUCCCCACAGAUUCACGAGGGGCCUCAGUCUCCCCUCCAGGCCUCAGUCCCCAGGAAUAGACUUGCUGGUGUCUAUGGUUCUUUCCCGAUUGCUGCAGCCCAGGUGGUUUCUGACUCCCCCAAGCAGUCUAUUGCUUGGCUGUGCCCCAGAGCCUGGGCGUGGUCAGGAUUCCUCCUGGUGCAAAGCUCACCGCGGAGAGACUGCGUCCUGCCGCCUGCAGGGCCAGCUCCGCUCCCGAGGCUUUCUGCUUUCCAGGAGCACCAGGCAGUGCCAUCUCCACACAGCCCUGGAGACUCUGUGCCGGGUGUGUGUUCCCGGAUGUUUCAUCUGGCUGAGGCUGGGGAGGGUCCUGCGGCCUCUGCCCAGGGCCAUGAGCCUGCAGUGAAGCCUCCAUCACUACCGUGAGGGGCUGACAGAGCCCUGUGCCCUGAGGUGUAGCUGCCUUAAUGGGGGCUGUGGAUGGAAGGCGAAGAGAGCUGCUCCUCCCCCGGCGAACCCUGCCGCAGCUCCAGAGCUUCCUCUCGAAGGAAAGGCUAGUUCCGGGCUCCCCUGGCCACACCGGCACACAGGACUCCCGGACUCCACCCUGGCUUCCUCUCCCGGGGUGCUGGCUCCCGCAGCUUCUCUGCUCACCCCUACACCAGGGACCCAAUGCCCAGGCCAGGGCAGAGCUGCUGCUCCUCCCUCUCCUCCCCAGGAGGAAACCCCGCCGUGACAGCACCAGCUGGUCUGGGAUCCCAAAGUGAGAGUGGACUCAGCAGAUGAGUGGAGGAUGGACGUGCCAGUCGACGCUCAGAAACGUGCAGGAGGAAUAAAUGAGCAUGGGCAGUUUCCUGGGGGCAGGACCACCCGGGCACAGCCAGAUCUCAGCAGUUGUGGAGCUCAGUGGCCUCAGAUGAAGCCUCAGGAGGAAAGACCCACAGCCUUCGGUCCCCAGGGGGAUGUGGCCAAGCACCAGGGACCCAGGGACAGAGGCAGAGAGAUGAAACCAACAAUAAUGAGACAGAAGCCUGGCCUCCUGCACGAAGCCAAAACUGAAAUGCAAAUUGGAAACCAUGAAAGAAAUCUCCAUCCUGAGCCAGAGGCUCCAAGAAUCCCUGGUCGGAGCACGCAAGAUCCCUGGGCAGGUUGGGCAGGGCCAGUGACAGACGUGGAGAGAGGCUGCCUGCUCACGGCAGGCUGUGUGGAGGCACCCACCACCAUGCUGGGUGCUCCUGGGGCCAACGCCAGCAGCCAGGGCACACCACCUGCCCCCCACCCGAGAGCCUCCCCAGCUCCAGCCCUCCCAGCCAGUCUUCCUUCCCAGGCUCUCCCAGAUGGGCCACUUCCUGGACCAUACCCACAGACCCCAUCUGGCCUGCAGGCCUCACUCCAAUACACCCACCCCUGCGGCUGGACCACAGGCUACAUCAGCCCACUCAGC